ACAAAAAAUAUUAAUUCAUUAAUUAUUAUACAGUAAACAAAUUCACACAAACUUGCUGAGACGCGAACAGCUUAACGCUAACUUUAACAUUGAAAACACCAUAGAUAUACACAUUAGCAUCUGUCCCAUUUUUAAGUUAUAAAACACAUUUAUCAACUGUUUCAGAAGACCAUAACAGGUUGGUUUAACAU